UGACGUUUUCUUUGCCCGCCAGGGAGGGACAUUUCCUCCACUUCAGAGAACUCGUGCGCGUCUCUGCAAGGAGUCCGGAGGCUUAGCCAUGGCGCCGGGCGGUCAGAUGGGGCCUGCUGGCGGGAGCUCCGGCGCGGUUACCCCUGAAGGCCUGCGCGGCUGGAUCCGAGGAGCUUACCGCUUUGCCACGGACCGCAACGACUUUCGCAGAAACCUCAUAGUUAAUCUGGGACUCUUUGCAGUGGGUGUCUGGGUAGCCAGAAACUUAACAGACAUUGAUUUGAUGGCACCACAACCUGUUGCAUAGCAGAGGGAAAAUUCUACUUGCAAGCCAGAGCACCUUGGACCAGCUUCAGCCUGCUCCUCCAGUGGGCUGGCAAUGAGAUGGAGGCUCUGCUCUAAGGGUAUAUCCUCAGCAAAUGAUUUUACAAAUCUGAACUUCCCUCCCCUGUAUGAGAGAAAAAGCAAGAAGAAUUGGAGAAAACAGAGGCAAUAUUUUACCUGUACAUCAUUCUUCAUUACGCUCAAUUCAUUCUUUGGCGGCAUUAGGUUUUAUACUCAAUAGUAAUAGACCACCAUUUCUGUUUUUGCUAAAAGGUUUUUGAUAUGUACAUUAUUUUACAGAAUUUAACUGUUAGAGUCUGACCUGAAAUGUGAAAUAAAGACAUGCCAGUGCA